AUGGCGACCGGCGCACGGGUGAGUAACACGUAUCCAACCUGCCGAUGACUCGGGGAUAGCCUUUCGAAAGAAAGAUUAAUACCCGAUGGCAUAGUUCUUCCGCAUGGUAGAACUAUUAAAGAAUUUCGGUCAUCGAUGGGGAUGCGUUCCAUUAGCUUGUUGGCGGGGUAACGGGCCCACCAAGGCAUCGAUGGAUAGGGGUUCUGAGAGGAAGGUCCCCCACAUUGGAACUGAGACACGGUCCAAACUCCUACGGAAGGCAGCAG
rnacentral:rRNA from 1 species